rnacentral:rRNA from 1 species
UACAGAGGGGGCAAGCGUUGUUCGGAAUUACUGGGCGUAAAGGGCGCGUAGGCGGCCUGCUAAGUCGAACGUGAAAUCCCCGGGCUCAACCCGGGAACUGCGUCCGAUACUGGCAGGCUUGAAUCCGGGAGAGGGAUGUGGAAUUCCAGGUGUAGCGGUGAAAUGCGUAGAUAUCUGGAGGAACACCGGUGGCGAAGGCGGCUCUCUGGGCCUUACCUGACGCUGAGGAGCGAAAGCGUGGGUAGCGAACAGG